CCUACGGGAGGCAGCAGUGGGGAAUAUUGGGCAAUGGGCGCAAGCCUGACCCAGCAACGCCGCGUGAAGGAAGAAGGCUUUCGGGUUGUAAACUUCUUUUCUCAGGGACGAAGCAAGUGACGGUACCUGAUGAAUAAGCCACGGCUAACUACGUGCCAGCAGCCGCGGUAAUACGUAGGUGGCAAGCUUUAUCCGGAUUUACUGGGUGUAAAGGGCGUGUGGGCGGGGACGCAAGUCAGAUGUGAAAACCACGGGCUCAACCUGUGGACUGCAUUUGAAACUGUGUUUCUUGAGUACUGGAGAGGCAGACGGAAUUCCUAGUGUAGCGGUGAAAUGCGUAGAUAUUAGGAGGAACCCCAGUGGCGAAGGCGGUCUGCUGGACAGUAACUGACGCUGAGGCGCGAAAGCGUGGGGAGCAAACAGGAUUAGAUACCCGGGUAGUC
rnacentral:rRNA from 1 species